rnacentral:rRNA from 1 species
UUGAACGCUGGCGGCAUGCCUUACACAUGCAAGUCGAACGGUAACAGGUCUUCGGAUGCUGACGAGUGGCGAACGGGUGAGUAAUACAUCGGAACGCGCCUAGUAGUGGGGGAUAACUACUCGAAAGAGUAGCUAAUACCGCAUGAGAUCUACGGAUGAAAGCAGGGGACCUUCGGGCCUUGUGCUACUAGAGCGGCCGAUGGCAGAUUAGGUAGUUGGUGGGAUAAAAGCUUACCAAGCCGACGAUCUGUAGCUGGUCUGAGAGGACGACCAGCCACACUGGGACUGAGACACGGCCCAGACUCCUACGGGAGGCAGCAGUGGGGAAUUUUGGACAAUGGGCGAAAGCCUGAUCCAGCAAUGCCGCGUGCAGGAUGAAGGCCUUCGGGUUGUAAACUGCUUUUGUACGGAACGAAAAAGCUCCUUCUAAUACAGGGGGCCCAUGACGGUACCGUAAGAAUAAGCACCGGCUAACUACGUGCCAGCCGCCGCGGUAAGAC